UACGUAGGGGGCAAGCGUUGUCCGGAUUUAUUGGGCGUAAAGAGCGUGUAGGCGGUUAGGUAGGUCCGUUGUGAAAACUCGAGGCUCAACCUCGAGACGCCGAUGGAAACCAUCUGACUAGAGUCCGGAAGAGGAGAGUGGAAUUCCUGGUGUAGCGGUGAAAUGCGCAGAUAUCAGGAAGAACACCCGUGGCUAAGGCGACUCUCUAGUACGGUACUGACGCUGAGACGCGAAGGCGUGGGGAGCAAACAGG
rnacentral:rRNA from 1 species